rnacentral:rRNA from 1 species
GAUAGAGGAGUGCUCGAAAGAGAACCGUAACACAGGUGCUGCAUGGCUGUCGUCAGCUCGUGUCGUGAGAUGUUGGGUUAAGUCCCGCAACGAGCGCAACCCUUGUCAUUAGUUGCUACAUUCAGUUGGGCACUCUAAUGAGACUGCCGGUGACAAACCGGAGGAAGGUGGGGAUGACGUCAAGUCCUCAUGGCCCUUAUAGGUGGGGCUACACACGUCAUACAAUGGAUGGUACAAAGGGUCGCCAACCCGCGAGGGGGAGCCAAUCCCAUAAAGCCAUUCGUAGUCCGGAUCGCAGUCUGCAACUCGACUGCGUGAAGUCGGAAUCGCUAGUAAUCGUGGAUCAGAAUGUCACGGUGAAUACGUUCCCGGGUCUU